rnacentral:rRNA from 1 species
CGUGUAGGUGGUCGGGUAAGUCAGAUGUGAAAGCCUUCUGCUUAACAGAAGAAGUGCAUUUGAAACUGCUCGGCUAGAGUACGGGAGAGGAGAGUGGAAUUCCCGGUGUAGAGGUGAAAUUCGUAGAUAUCGGGAGGAACACCAGUGGCGAAGGCGGCUCUCUGGUCCGAUACUGACACUGAGACGCGAAAGCGUGGGGAGCAAACAGGAUUAGAUACCCUGGUAGUCCACGCCGUAAACGAUGGGCACUAGGUGUAGGAGGUAUUGACCCCUUCUGUGCCGAAGUUAACGCAUUAAGUGCCCCGCCUGGGGAGUACGGCCGCAAGGCUAAA